CGAGAUGAGUUUUGACUCCUAUCCAACUGGCCCGCAAAGUCCCGCUUCUGGCAUUCGCCAUAUCUUCUUGAUGGACUAUAUAAAAAAUACAACGGCUGUCGUUCACAGUUUACUAAUAACCACCACCAUCUUAAGCCUAAUAAUGGAAAGUAGUCCUUAUUCUUUUACUUUAAGUGGGAUACAAGUCUAAUGCCGCAGGGAGAAUGAGGGGCUUUUGGGGGCACUUGUGUUUCAGUUUCACCAUCAUAAUGCCCCUAAAAAUCCUCAUGGCUCUUGCAAUGAUCUCCAUUCAUGUUAUUAGACCAUGAUCAUCACAUGUACUCCAAAUAUGGAAGUCACAUUGAUCACUGUAUCAUUCAAUUUUCCAUUCAAUUUUAUUUGUAUCAAUUGUAUCAUGUGCAAUGUUAGGGUCAUUUAUUUCUUUGAGAGUCUCAAAAGCUUACUGUAGCCGACUAGAUGUUUUAUCCUUUACCACUGGCUAUGCUAUGUUAAAAUGUGAGGUGAAUAUAAUCUUUCACAAAAAGAGGACAUUUCCCCAUAAACAAGACUUGGCAGACAGUAUAUUUUGUUUCACUGGCCACUUCUUGGCUUUUGCUGUGUAAUACCAGCCAAUGUUGCCAGCUGAUUUUUCACUGCAAUGCAAUAACAUGUUGUAUUCUUUAGUGUGAAGAGGAUUUGUGUAAUAUAAAGCAGACACUAAUUUAUAUUAACUUCCAGUGAGCUCAAGCUUUGCCAUAAGAAAAACUAGCCGGAAAUCAGAACUAUAAUGUGCUUUAUCUGUUAAGAAAGGACAUGUUAUUUUGUGACACAUGAAGCAUGUCUACGUGACUCACAUAUGCGUAAGGUAAAAAAUGGGGUGACAGAAUUUUAGAUUAUUGUCCAGGUCGUCAAAAUGGUUUCCAUUGUAGGCUUGGGGAAAAGGCCAGAACAUCCCUCUUGACACUAAGUCUUAACUUGCUGAAGGCAUGUGACCUGAUGCAAGUUUGCAGCUCCUCCUAGCAAUAACACGGCUAAUGGCCUGGAGUGGCACAAGCCUGGCCUUUGGAGCAGGGUUCACACAAAUCAGUGCUGUUUGCAUCCAUCACACAUUGCUUUCUGUGCUCAAUUAUGUUGUUUUUCACCAGGCUAAGGCUUCUUAAAUGCAGGCUGCUUACCGUUCCUAUGUAUCCGUCCACUGUCUAAGAGUUCCUGAAGGAAGGAGCAUUUGGUGUGUCACCACAGCAUCAUUUUAAGAGGGUUUAUUAACUAUUUCAAGGGAAUUAACUUGCACAUUAUCCGCUUUAAGUAGUCUUCACAUAAGGAUUGCUUCUGUCUUCAGAGAAAAAAAAAAUAAAGUAACAAGAAUAUAGAAGGCGAAAUUCAUUUUCGUAGGCCAAGUUAACAAAUCAGCUCACAGUAAUUUUAUGUCAGUGAAGUAUGCCACACAUUAGCGGGCAUACUUGAGGAGGUAGUCGUCAUUAACACUCAUCCUUGUCUAAUGCGGGUGUCCAUACACAGUCUGAAAUGUACACAGUGAGGUGGUCGAGUGAUAUUUCCUACUAAAUUUGGAAGAGUUUGUCUCAGUAUUUGACCACAUUAUUGAGUACAGUUGUAUGACAAAAUAAAUGGGAAGGAAGACUGAUAAGGAGCCAUCGGGGAUUUCUCUUAGCGGUGAGUCAUAAGAGUGACACACAGUGGCUUUUAUGUAAUGUCCCAUGAAACACGGUUACAACUCUUUUAAAAUUGAUUUCAGUUAUAUGAAAUAUUGACAGGCUGGCCAGCCAAGAGAGCUUUAGUAAGGAAUGCAUUCUAAUUUGAAUUAGGCUUUUUCUGCCUGGGUUAGCGUGCAUAAAAAGCAUGAUCAUUUCAGUCUGUAAAGUAACAUGAGAGAAUUCAUACAUUUCAAGUCAUAGUAGUUAUUGUGAUAUACAUACCCAUGCAUGUAUAAUUACAGUUGUUAUAUCACAGAAGAAACAGAGCAGUGUGUGAUGUAUUAAUUAAGCAGGCUAUGUUUCAUCCAGAUGAUGUACUGGACACUUGCAAUGAGAGGAACAUAAAGCAUUAUAGCUCCAUCUUGUAUUUCCAGACUUUUGGUUUUAUCAUGCCAAGCACAUGCAUUGUAAUGCCAAAUAUAGCUCUGAAAGAUCAAGUAACAGAAUCAACUCCAGCCAUGGCAACAGCUUCCUGGCUAUAAAAAGAGAUUCUGUAAUCGUAAUGAGACUGUUGUGACAAAUGACAAGCGAUAAUUGAGAAGUUGAACAAUUUAGAAGUUGAUCAAUUUCAUAAGAAGUGAUACAUUUGGUAAGAAACAAAAUGUGCAUAGAAAGUUUGUUUCAUUGCCUGUAUAAUAUGCAGUGUCACUGGGGCAAGGAUUGAGUGUUGUGAGAUUGGGGUGACCAGCUGUGCCAACUGCUUUAGGCUGUGUUUGUGUCCUGUCAUCGUAACAGGAGAGAGAGAGGGGGCAUUUCAUCUGGGAAAGUCAUUAUUGACACCCCGCUUACCUAAACGAGGAAUGACUCCGAGGACUCACCCCACAGGAUGGCAGCCAAGACGUGUGCCUCGCUAAAGAUCUGAUCAAGAUGUACAGUCGCUAAAAAUGACACCCAUAUAUCCUAUGUGGUUUGUAAAGGCUAAAGACAAAUAUUGAUGAGGUAUCAGUAUCAGUGGUUGUCAGAAUAUUGAUCUUGGUUGCGCAGUGGGGAGGAGUCCUUCCUCACUUUCACACAGCCUUUGAGGGACUUACUGAUCCCCAGGGAAUGGAACAAGCGAAACAUUUUGUGCUCCAUUCAUGUUGUCCUGAGUGAUUUGAAAGAGCGUCAUAGGACAUCUUUGUUUGAGGGGUGUUAACGAUUUUAAUUGAAUUGAAAGUGUUAUCGCCCCAAAAAUAAACCGAAAGGCAUGGAGAGACAAGUUUUAAGCUGUUAAGUGGUUUUGGUGAGAGGAGUGCCCUGUGAACUCUUGAAUCAGGGUUGAAGAAUGCCUGUGCAAUGAGCUGGCACACCACAUUAACAUUGUUACAUGAAAUGGUUUGAAUUGUCACAACCCGCGUUCAGAUUCCUGUUUCAACAGAGCGAGGUUUGACUCCCCUGAUGCAUCUGUGGCUCUACUUUUAUGGCUUCGACUGCAGUCCUGAAGAACGGGUGGAUAUCCAAUAACCCUCAGCCACAAGAGUCCCACUUCUCUCUCUCUCUCUCUCUUCCUUUUUCUCUCUCUCUCUCUCUCUCUCUCUCUCUCUCUCUCUCUCCCUCUCCCUGUCACAUCUUUCUUUUACCUCUGUUCAGCAAAGGAAAUGAAGAUUUUGAGCUUUGGACAUUUGUUAGACAAAGACGCUGAGAGAGAAAAUAUGAACUGAGGUUUUUUUUUAUGUCUCCGUGAAGCCAUUUAACAUCAGCCGCAAGUGGUUCUGAUCACUUACCCCAAGACUGUCUUUUAACGGUGAGCUGAUUUUGAGAAAUUAAACGUCUCUUCAGGCUAGCCAGCAAAUGCUGUUGCCUGGUUGUUAAGGUUUCCUAGUUGCUAUGCUUGUUAAACUUUUUAAAUUGAAAAAAAAAAACUUUUAAAUAACCUUAAAUGGUUUAAAUGGCAGAGUUCCAUUUGCAUGACAUGACAGCAGGUUAUCUAGCUAACGUUACAAUCUCCUUAAUGUAACUUAUAAAACUACAAUAGGAAAACCUUAGGAUGCCUGUGCAGUUUUCUGCUUGGUUUAGUUUAACUUAGAAGCUAAUUAUUUCAUAUUAACACACCCUAGCAACUGACAACUGUAAAGAUGUCUCCCAAAGUUGUAUGGCUAAGUUAACUGUCACAAGACCUUGCACAUUUAACACGUCUCGUGGAGGUUCAUGUUCCAUAUAGUAUUCCAUUUACAGACAGGUUGGAAUACAUGACACCCGUUACUUUACUGUCAUGGAAGACUGAGUGGGAUUGAAAAUUUGUUAUCCAUCCUGUGUUGUUUAAACCUGAUACAUUAAUGGGUUUUGUAUGUGAAAGGGGCUUUAGUUCAUCACCUCUGGCAUAUUUUCAGCCGCAAACCUAUAUUGUGCAGUACAUGACACCUUUAGUAGUACCGUAGUGUUAUUAUUUAUUAUAGUGUAUCGUAAGGUUUGUUAAGCAGUAAGCCUGACAUAAAGAUAUGUUGAGCACAGCCUCAAAAAAGGCUCUUAGAUGAACCACUCUUUGCUGCAUUUCAGCGCACCCCAACCAUGCCAUAUCCGUGGCCCUCCGGCCGGCUCUGCUCUGACGUAGGCCCAGUAGGCUUUGCUGUGCCGUGUUCAUCAAGUGAAAUUAUGACAAAGCAAAGGGUGUUGGGAUGCAUUCUCUAUCAGUGAUGUGGGCCAUUCACACGUCCCAUCUGUUUUACGCCGCUGACACCCUAGGCUUCUGCUUUUGUGACUCGACACAUUGAGGGAGAAUCACGGAGGCGCUGUGCCUGCUCUGUUUAGGGAGAGAGAGAGUGGGAGCAGGGGGCAGAGGAGGGGACUGGCAGGGUGAAGUAUAUUGAAAAAUCUCACAUGACAAGCUUGCCCUCGCACUGGGAGAGAGGGAUAGAUUUACCCUUUCUCCCUCUGUGGUUAUAUUUAGAGCUUCGACAGAACCCCGUGAACUGAAGACAACGUGAUGCGCAUAAGUGAUAGUGUCCUUGCUUUUUACACUGCUCUAAUCACAAAGGCAGUGUUUCCUUCUGAAGUAGUCUGGGAUUUAACUUUGCACCGACAAUAUUAUUACAGUACCGUAAAUGUAAUGGGAUUAUACCAGAAAGCUACUCCUGCCCCUUACAUUUUACAGAAAGAGAUACAUCUACAGUGGAGAAUCUAUCUAUUUCGAAAAGUCAAUGCAACAGUUAAUCACUUGUUUGCUAAAAUAUUGUUUAUGGUUAAUCACUCCAGGACCAGUGCACAUCGAUUCGUAAUAUUUCACACACGCCUCACAACUGAAAACGCUUUAUGUAGAUGUAACCUCUUUAUGAAUAUGUAAAAUAUACCCAAAUGACAGUGGUAAAUAGUGUUGAAGACAUUAUCUUCCAAAAGAAUUUUAAAUAUUUGAUUCCAGAGAUGGUUUUACUCCAACAAUACAUGGAACAAUCCAUCUUAGAUGGAAUGGAAUUGCAUUCUCAAUAAUUACUUAAUUGCUUUCGCUCAGACUCUGUGUCAAUUAAGACGUCUGUGAUUAAACCAACGAUUUCUACAAAGUAAUUAAAGAUUGUCGAAGAUCUUGUUGCAGAAAAAUACAAAUAACAGCGUGACUUGGAUACUAAGCAUAGUAAUUUGAGUUUUUUUUGUGUUUGCAGAGAAGCCAUUUCUUUGCUUGGUCUGAGUUCUGUCAAAGGGGAUGCUAUGGCAAUGGCAUAAAUAUUCACAUUAUUAUAAAUGUGCAAUCCUUUAUUUAAAGAACAAACUAUGUAGGGUGAUUUAAAGCAAGCAGAGACAUGUCUCCAUUCUCAUAGCAGAAAAUAAAUUGAUUGUUUGAAAUAUUUUUUCUAAAUAUUUUUUGUUGAGAUACGUGGCUAUCAACAUGCAAGGUCUAGGGUACAGGAUUUCGAAAUAUUGUGAUAUAUUUUGCUCAGUGUUGGAUUGAACCUGAUUAUAUUAUUAAUAGAAAAUCAAUUGCUUUCGGUCCAGGUAUUCAUUCUGAAACAGUUUGAAUGUUUUCAUUGUUUUCAAUAUAAUAUUUAUUUCUAUGUGGUGUUUGUGAAAUAGAAACAAUAGGAUAUUGCAAUUAAAGCGAGACUUUUUGUUUUCAUACCCAAUUUUCUUGAGGAAUAACGGAACAAGAGGAGGGAAACUGGAAAUGUGCAGUGUUGGAAAAACCAAGAUUCUGGCUGUCCGCUAGAAUUAUUGGUCCUCUAUCAUUCAGUGGAAACAUGUCCCAGUGAUUCAGAAGACUGGCAUCUCUUUGCUUCCUGGGCUUCACAUUAAUGGCUCCCCAAACAGAGCUCUCACAAACCCACUCCUUGUGUUUCUCACAGAUGAAAUAUGAAAGGAUGUCUGUUCAAAGAAAACAAUGUAGUGGCAUCCUUUAAAUGCGAGUUAGUAACAGUCAAGCAAAAGAAAGUAUUUGCCAGAAUACCCUGGAAAAGAAAGUAAAGUAUUUUUUUUGCUGUUUCUUUGAGGCCUCUUUGUUUAAGCACAAAAUGUGGAUUACACCAUCAAAACUCCCAAUGCCAAACUAUCUUAUCAAUACCAUAUUGAACCCAGCUUGGGAAAAGAGAGAGAGCGAGAGAGCCAUCCCUGCUCUUGAAUUUGCAUUGCAAGCAGGAUGGCUGUAAAUGUCAGUUGAAUGGUAAAACAACUGUCCAUGCCACAUUACUAAGUAGUGAGAUACUUUAAAAGCUCAACCUCCCGCUCAGUCUACCAGUGCUGUCCAAAGAGAUCAAACAGCAUGAAAAAUAUGCUGACUCAUCCAACUGACAUGGAACAUUGUGGAAGACAUUUUUAUGGCCUCAGUUGCUUUCAAUGGAUCUGUCCCUAAGUGAACCAUUAGUCAGCAUUCUUUUGUCUCUUCUGCUUGGUGGAAGUGCAAAGCAUGACCAUCCUUACAAGGGAUCCUCUGAGAGCAAGAGAGAACAGUAGAGCAGGAGGGUGUUGGGAGGCAAACAUCAGGGUUGGGGAGUCGAAACUCGUCUGCUUGUCCGAUUAAGGCAGCUCCUCUCCCUAACCAAAACCACAUGAAGUCUUCUCACAGCCAAACUAACCGGGCAGACGUCAGUUCUGAGCAAAGUGCCUAACGAAGCACAAACACGAGUGGACGUCUGAUUUUAUUAUUUUAUUCCUGUUUUGUCAACAUCAUGUGAUCCAAAAUGCAUGAGAUGCCUCUUCUCCCCCCCCCCCAUGAGUAGCCUACAUGGGUCAUGCUUACGCCGCACCAAAUGUUACAUGUAUGCACCCCUUGCAGGUUAUGGGAGCUUUUAUGCGAUGAUCCCGGCAUUGGGCGUCCUUAAGGUUCCUUUUCCUGUGCUUGCGAAGAUGCUGUGUCUGCUGCUCUUAUCAAAGGAAAUGAGAACGGAAGCCACGGCACAUGGCUUUGAUUUCUCAAGGCUCCCAUUCUGUUUUAGCUUUGCCAAAUGGAUUUGUGGGUCCUGCAUGGAAGGUGAGGGCUUAAGAACAAGAUGUGUGUAAAGUACGUGAAGCAAAAGGGCAGGCAGUACAGUGGAUGCCAGUUGGUUUUGAACAUGUCUUUUUUAAAUUUACAACUUUAAUAUGUCGAAACCCAUGACUUAAGAUGUUCAAGCCCUGAAGCAUUGUUUGAGCUGUGCGCCAUUACUAUGAGUUACUGCAGAAGUAGGAUAUCUCUAAGUGCAGCUUCCCUCAUAAAGCCAGAUACAGAAUAAUUGGUUCAUUGUGUAUCGCAUGUCAGUUACAUCCCACAAGACUAGUGAAGACAUGCAAAGCUGAACAACAAAAACCUUACAGUUAUUUUGCAAUCUUCUGCAAGUCUUGACAUAUGUCCUCAUCUCCAGGGAUAGGCAGUAUUUCAGAUACAUGUGUUAAAAAUGUUUAUUUAAAACAAUGUGUACUCAAUGUGUAAUAAAGUAGUAUUUUUUUAUUUGUAUUUGAUGGGCAUUGAAUGGUUAUGUAAUUUCAAUCAAAAUAGAAUAGUCUUCAGUUAAAAAAAAAAACAUAAAAUACUUUCCCCGAAAGUAAAUGUUCUUCAUGUUCAACAUCUGAAUGCAUGUGUGAGAGCUAGAACAGCGUCCUGAGCACUUUGCCAAUGCUUGUUUAAGACAGUGCAAGUGACAGAUUGAUGUCUCAUUUGUCCUCUCUGAUUCAGUGCGAAGGCCCAUUUAUAGUCCAGGCGACAAGAGCUGCACAAAAAAAACACAAAGGUGUCAAAUCUGGUGUCUGUUAGGGCAGCGCAGACCAUGUCAUCUGCAUGAAAAAGUUUGAAAGGGUGCAGGCAUUAAAGGUUUUUGUCACUCUCUGAUUGGAUGACAAGAGAUUUUUAUGUAUGUUUUUUGCCUUCUUGACAUGGCUUUGGUCAUCUAGCUGGCUCGAAUAUCAUGAUAGUGCUUCUCAUAACAGAUUUGUUACACGCCUUGUUAAGUAGUGAAAAGCUGUCAAAUAUGAUCAAAUGAUCCAAUAUGCCUACGUAGAGUGGAGGCUUGUGAUAUGAUGUCACGUUGUUGUUGCUGUAUUUGUUAUUUUAUUUUGUUACUUUUUUGUAUCUUGUACCGAAAUAAAUGAUGUAUUUUUGCCCAUCCCUGCUUGUCCUGAUGUUGCCUUGACACUGUCAUUCACUUCUGAAAAUGCUAAAUAUUUCCUUCUGUAAAUCAACAGUUUAUUCGUUAGCAUCACUGCAGACUGCACUAGAAUCAUAAACAGGAACUAUAUAUCCCCAGUAUUCUUAACUGGGUUGUUGAAGUAUGUUUUAGUAAGGUUCAAAAUCACAUAAGAUGAGGCUUCAUGCAGCACACAUGACAUGUGGUCAGUUGGUUUUAUUGACAAUAGUGAUAAAUCAUUAAUGCACUCCUCACAUAGAUGUGGAAGACUGAAUGGCAGCAUGGUUCAGGCAUGAAUGCCAUGGGUGAAACAGAGAUAGUCCUUGCUGAAUGGUGUGCAUUUUCACAUGUCUACAAUGACUGGACGUUUGUAUUAAUCACACUGUUACCAUAAUCCGAUUAUGUUUUGAAGCUGAAAUGCAGCUACAUGAAUGUAACCCAUACUAGCCAUCCUGUUGCAUUUAUGGCAUUUUUCCCCUCCCAUGACCAUCACAUGAAAAUAUGCUUUUCAGGAAAUGCAUGAGCCAGUAGAAUAAACGCACCCUAACUAAUUAAAUAACAGAGACAUUUAAGGCACGGCUCAGUGGCCAGUCACUGGCAGGAACACUCCUGGUCUUAAAAUGCCAGUAACACAAAACAAGUCCCCUUUUCACUGCUGCCAUUACAGUCAUAAGUAAGAAAUGCACAGAUGGAUACUCUCAGAGAUAAUGCUGUGUGCUUAAUGUGCACUUAUACACAAUGUGCUGAGCUUGCUAUGUAGGUUUUUUUUUGUGUCUGUCACAGAGGGACUGUGCCAAAAAGCCAUGUCGAUGUACGACACACGGGAGCACAUGAGAAUGGUGUGUUUCCAGUGCAACUUAACUUGGGUCAUGAGACCACAGGUGUGGUGAUGCAGUACGGCUUUUUCCACAAAGAACUGUUCUCCUCAAAGUAAAGGAGGCCUUGGCAGUGAGGCACCAUCUUUCCUGGCACCGCGUGUUAAGUGGCAACACAGAGAGCAAAACACUGUUUCCUGACCCCAGAGGAUUUAACUGAAUCUCAAGCCUUGGAUUCUUGGUCUAAAGCAAGGCUGCCCUGUUUAUUUCUGUUUCUGUGGAUGGACACUGCAGUGGUAGAGUGUAAUGUAUGGUGCAAUACAUCACCGUAUUAAAUGUAUAACUAAACACUA